rnacentral:tRNA from 1 species
GAAGCGGUGGCUCAAUGGUAGAGCUUUCGACUCCAGUUUGAUCCUGGUUAAAUAGGAAAUAUUGCAAUCGAAGGGUUGCAGGUUCAAUUCCUGUCCGUUUCA